UGGGCCUUUAAUAGAUGUAGCCGCAGUUCCUUCAGAACUCACUUGCGAACAUUUGAUGAAUAAGCCAGAAAAUCUUGAGCCAUGGAUUCUUCUGAACCUUGCACUAGGCUUUCUGUACUUGGAGAACCUGGAAAGAUGUCACUCGGGACAGGUGCCUCAAAAGGGGUACAUGUGUUCCUCAAGAAGUCGUCCUGCCUUUUCUGCCUCCACACCAAUAACCAGGGGCAGGACUCAGGACUCAGGAUAGUCCAAACAGAGAAAUACUUGCCCUGUUCUGGGAGGAAAUAAAGCAUAUAACCUCGAAUUGUAAAAUGCAUACCAGUAAGAAUUGCAAAAAAGUAUGGUGGAGUAGAACUUGAGGGUGAUGAAUGGACGGCAGAGGUGGUAUAUUCAAUAGCAUCGGAGUACUCUCCUGUGACGCAGGAUUUAAAGUUUUGAAUGAACCUGUGGCUAUUUACCAGACUAACUCAACACUGGAAAAAGACAUUUCCAGCUGACAUGGUUAUUGAGAGACUCAAAACACUCGCCUAGUACCCUAUCCAGAGUGGAGGCUAGUGGAGGAGAAGGGUAAAAUGGAAGCCUCAUUUAAGUUGAUCUCACAUUGAUCCAUGGACCUGUGAGGCACAGGAUUCUAGAUGAUGCUGUAACACCUCCAUUGGUACUAUUGAUAUUGGAGGCCUUAUCUUACUCACCUCUUCAUUCUGAACACAUCUGACAAUUAGCUCUUCAGAGUUCUCAGUUGAGCCUGUUUUUAAAUUGGAUGUGGAAAGUGUAAGUGGAAAAUUGGAUAUGUAAGAGAAAGAGACUGAAGAAUUAAAAUCAACCUGCUCGUAAGUAUAGCUUAUCUUUUCCUAAAAGGUGCCUUACGUUGUUGUGGCAGAAGGUAAUCAUUAUACUGUCUUGGUUCUAUUGUAUGUGGAAAAUAUUUGCAUGAAGUCAUUGUCUAGAAGUAACACCUGGGAGUAUGCAAUUGAUUUUGAUUUUGGUACGUAUCACCCAAUUUAAUGUAUGCUUCUAUGGCACAUUACUUUUCCAAUGGGAAGUGACUAGUUAAAUGUUGAGCAAGAAUCCUCAUGGAGAGCAGUAGAAAUAUCUAAUGAAUAGAAAUAUCUAAUGAUUUGUGCAGAAACGAAUGAACAUAGCAGGACUGCUAUCCUUAGAAAAGCCUGUUUGCAAGGCUGCUCCUUGGCUAAGGAUAUACAGAGGGCUUCCAAAGCCUUAAUUCAUGAACGUGCUCACUCUACCUAAAUAGUUUGUGCAAACAAUAUUAUUUAUGCUGGAAACCUGCUUUCCUUCUGGGAUUCUGGAGUUUGGGUACAUGCUAGGUGAAAACUGCCUAUCUGAUCAGUCCCCAGUACAAAUCCCCGGCACUGGGUUUCUCAUUAGCUUCCCUGAUAAGUAACACUUGUCUCAUUUUCUCACAACUCCUACCUGGGAACUUAAG